ACUCCCAACCCUUUUGUGAACAUACCUAUCGUUGCUUCGGCGGACUCGCCCCAGCGUCCGGCCGGCCCCGCGCCGGCCGCGGCCUGGAUCCAGGCGGCCGCCGGAGACCCCCAAACUCUGUAUUCUCAGUAUCUUCUGAAUCCGCCGCAAGGCAAAACAAAUGAAUCAAAACUUUCAACAACGGAUCUCUUGGUUCUGGCAUCGAUGAAGAACGCAGCGAAAUGCGAUAAGUAAUGUGAAUUGCAGAAUUCAGUGAAUCAUCGAAUCUUUGAACGCACAUUGCGCCCGCCAGCAUUCUGGCGGGCAUGCCUGUUCGAGCGUCAUUUCAACCCUCGACUUCCCUUUGGGGAAAUCGGCGUUGGGGACCGGCCGUAUACCGCCGGCCCCGAAAUGAAGUGGCGGCCCGUCCGCGGCGACCUCUGCGUAGUAAUCCAACUCGCACCGGAACCCCGACGUGGCCACGCCGUAAAACCCCCGACUUCUGAACGUUGACCUCGGAUCAGGUAGGAAUACCCGCUGAACUUAAGCAUAUCAAUAAGCGGAGGA
rnacentral:rRNA from 1 species